rnacentral:rRNA from 1 species
UCUGACCCAGCCAUGCCGCGUGCAGGAAGACGGCCCUAUGGGUUGUAAACUGCUUUUAUACAGGAAGAACACCACCCACGUGUGGGUGACUGACGGUACUGUAAGAAUAAGGACCGGCUAACUCCGUGCCAGCAGCCGCGGUAAUACGGAGGGUCCAAGCGUUAUCCGGAAUCAUUGGGUUUAAAGGGUCCGUAGGCGGGCUAAUAAGUCAGAGGUGAAAGUUUGCAGCUCAACUGUAAAAUUGCCUUUGAUACUGUUAGUCUUGAGUUAUAGUGAAGUGGUUAGAAUAAGUGGUGUAGCGGUGAAAUGCAUAGAUAUCACUUAGAAUACCGAUUGCGAAGGCAGAUCACUAACUGUAUACUGACGCUGAGGGACGAAAGCAUGGGUAGCGAACGGGAUUAGAUACCCCGGUAGUCCAUGCUGUAAACGAUGGAUACUAGCUGUUGGCUUCGGUCAGUGGCUAAGCGAAAGUGAUAAGUAUCCCACCUGGGGAGUACGUUCGCAAGAAUG